GGGGUAUUAGCUCAGUUGGUAGAGCACUUGGUUCGCAAUCAAGCGGUCAUCGGUUCGAAUCCGAUAUGCUCCAC
rnacentral:tRNA from 1 species